rnacentral:pre_miRNA from 9 species
UCUCGAUAGCGUAAAAGUUAAUUCAAAUUUGUAUGCAGUUGGAACGUUUGCCUACGCUUGUCUGGUGCUGUUCCAACUGCAUACAAAUUCGACUUAACUUUUACGCUAUCGA